GAUGAAGAACGCAGCGAAAUGCGAUAAGUAAUGUGAAUUGCAGAAUUCAGUGAAUCAUCGAAUCUUUGAUCGCACAUUGCGCCCCCUGGUAUUCCGGGGGGCAUGCCUGUUCGAGCGUCAUUUCACCACUCAAGCCUCGCUUGGUAUUGGGCAACGCGGUCCGCCGCGUGCCUCAAAUCGACCGGCUGGGUCUUCUGUCCCCUAAGCGUUGUGGAAACUAUUCGCUAAAGGGUGUUCGGGAGGCUACGCCGUAAAACAACCCCAUUUCUAAGGUUGACCUCGGAUCAGGUAGGGAUACCCGCUGAACUUAAGCAUAUCAAUAAGCGGAGGA
rnacentral:misc_RNA from 1 species